AUACUGGAGUAUCGGCGCUCACAGGCUGCUUUUUGCCACAUUCCACUGGACUUAGCUAUCCCAAUGGUUUCCCCCGCCCCAGCUUUGAAACCCCUCCUUCUUUCAGACCCGCCAAGGAUUAGUUGCCGUUGAAGGGGGCUCCGCCAAUGAAAUCUUCUCUGCGCUCUGAUUUGGCGGUUCUUCGGUGCAAAUAUGACAGCUUUCUCUCUCAGCUCUUUUCUGCAUCUCUCCAUGUCCGACCCCGGAGCCCAGUUCUCGGUCUGCAAUUUCUACACCACAACCUUUGCAAUCACCACCACCACCACCCCUAGGUCCCAUGUCAGCAGGUGCCAG
ensembl:lincRNA